AUUGAACGCUGACGGCGUGCUUAACACAUGCAAGUCGAAGGGAGUGGCGAACGGGUGAGUAACACGUGAGUAACCUGCCCUUUUCUUUGGGAUAAGCCUGGGAAACUGGGUCUAAUACGUGAUGGAUUGGGAUGGGCUCGCGGCUUCUGAGCUUGUUGGUGGGGUGCUGGCUUACCCAGGCUUUGACGGGUAGCCGGCCUGAGAGGGGGGUCGGUAACACUGGGACUGAGAUACGGCCCAGACGCCUACGGGGGGCAGCAGUGGGGGACAUUGGAACAUGGACGAAAGUCGGAUGCAGCGACGUCGUGUGGGGGAUGAAGGCCGUCGGGUUGUAAACUCCUUUCGCCCGCGGAAUGGUAGUGGGUAAAGAAGCGCCGGCUAACUACGUGCCAGCAGCCGCGGUAAUUC
rnacentral:rRNA from 1 species